rnacentral:misc_RNA from 1 species
UCCUGGUUUCCCAGGCGGUCCCACUAGAGUGCCUAUCUUACGAUAGUUGCAACUAGCAGUAGGGGUUGCGCUCGUUAGAGGACUUAACCUAACGUCUCACGACACGAGCUGACGACAGCCAUGCAGCACCUGUGCAUCUGUCUUAACCGAAGCCAAGAAGACUGCGUUUCCGCAGCUGUCAAAUGCAUGUCAAGCCCAGGUAAGGUUCCUCGCGUAGUGUCGAAUUAAACCACAUGUUCCACCGCUUGUGCGGACCCCCGUCAAUUCCUUUGAGUUUUAAUCUUGCGACCGUAGUCCCCAGGUGAACCACUUAACGCGUUAGCUACGACACUAAUCCGGCAGAGCCAGACUAACGUCUAGUGGUCAUCGUUUACAGCGUGGACUAC